GUAAGUGCUAGGACGAAAAUUAGCAGGUGAAGUGACGGCUAGGGCUCCUUGGCUGGGGGAGAGAGAAGGAGGCCUGUCUGUGCAAAGAUCUAAAUAGCAAGAGGAACCGCCAUGGGUAGAGUCUGGGAAGAGCAUUUUGUUCUUUUAGAGGCAGGGUCUUGCUGUGUUGCCCAGGCCGAACUUGAAUUCCUGGCCUCAAACAGUCCUCCCACCUCAGCCUUCUGAGUAGCUGGGACUACAGGGGCCUGCCCUCCUGGGAAGAGCAUCAUUGGCAGAAAGAACAUCAAGUGCAAAGGUCCUGAGGCAGGAGAGAACUUGAUAAGAAAAUCAAGGCUCAGAGAGGUGAAGUCACUGAUCCAAAGUCACACAGCAGGUCAAAAGGAGAUCAUGUUUCCUGCCUGGAGGAGAGGCCCCGGUGGACUGGAAUAGGAGAAAGUGGAGGGGGUGUAUUUCAGGAUAGAAUCCUGCACCCUGCCAGGGACCACGCUUAUCCUUGGCUCACUCAAUAGGAUGCAAGGGCGUUUACUGUGGCCAGGUCUUGUGAGUGCCCAGAGCCCUGUGGCAAGAAGCCUCUGCCAGGGAAAGGGAUGCGGGGAAGUGGAGGCAGUGAUGGGGAAGCAGAGCCAGGAGAGACCCUUGGGCUUCCUUCCUUCAAGGCCUCUGGUCUCUAGCAGAGAGAAGAGAGGGAGCAGGUGAGAGCCCCACUUAGCUCUAGGCAAUAUUUUUUUUUCAGACAGGAUCCCACUCUGUCACCCAGGCUGGAGUGCAGUGGCACAAUCAUGACUCACUGCAGCCUCAACCUCCCAAGCUCAAGCAACGCUCCCAUCUCAGCCUCCCAAGCUCAAGCACCGCUCCCAUCUCAGCCUCCCAAGUUGCUUGGACUACAGGUGCACGCUAUCACGCCCAGCUAAUUUUUGUAUUUUUUGUAGAGAUGGGUUUUUGCCAUGUUGUUCAGGCUGCUCUUGAACUCCUGAGUUAAGUGAUCUGCCUUGCCUACCUUGGCCUCCCAAAGUGCUGGGAUUACAGGCAUGAGCCACUGCGUGCAGCCGAGCCAAACCUCAUUCUAGAUUCCAUCUCCAGGAAUAAUGAUGUGGGACCCACCACACAGCCCCCAUAGUCUGGCAAGUGAGACAGACAUUGAACCCACUCUAAAGAAGGGUCUCAUUAUCCCAAGAAAAAGACCACUUUGACCACAAGUCAAAGCUCUGGGAACCAACAUUUCUUAGUAAUUGGGAAAAAAAUGUUUAAUUGGAAUUUUGUUUUGAAAAAUGAAAUUUAAACUAUGAAAAUAUACACAUUUUAUCUUCCACAAACAACAUUUAGGUUAAUAUGCUAAUUCUUAGAUUAAUGUGCUAAUACUUAGUGUUAUGGUUUGACUGUCCCCUCCAAAACUUAUGAUGAAAUUUAUUUAUUUAUUUUAUUUUUUUUUUUUUUAGAUGGAGUUUUGUUCUUGUCACCCAGGCUGGAGUGCAAUGGCAUGAUCUCGGCUAAGUGCAACUCCUGCCUCCUGGGUUCAAGCAAUUCUCCUGCCUUAGCCUUUUGAGUAGCUGGGAUUACAAGUGGCCACCCCUAUACCCAGCUAAUUUUUAUAUUUUUAGUAGAGACAAGGUUUCACCAUUUUGGCCACGAUGGUCUUGAACUCCUGACCUCAAGUGAUCUGCCUUCUUUGGCCUCCCAAAGUGCUGGGAUUACAGUGGUGAGCCAUCAUGCCCGGCUGAUUUAUGAUGAAAUUUAAUUGCCAUUGUGAAGGUAUUAAGAGGUGGGACUAUUAAGAAGUGAUUAGGUCAUAAGGGCAAAACCCUCAUGAAUGGAUUAAUCUCUUUAUUGAAGGAGUGAGCUCAUGAUCAAGACACUGGAUUUAUUGUAAAAAUGAGUUCAGCUCUCUCUUGCUCACUGUCUAGUGCUCUCUUGCCCUUCUGCCUUCCACCAUGGGAUGAUACAGCAUGAAGACCCCCACCAGAUGCUGGUGCCAUACUCUUGGACUUCCCAGUCUUCAGAAGCAUGAGCCAAAUAAAUUUCUAUUGUUUACAAAUUACCCAGAGUGGUAUUCUGUUUUAGCAUCAGAAAAUGGAGUAAGACAAUUAGAGUACAAAAAGUUCAUUGGAGUAGGCAUAGUUCUUCCCACAAAAUUGCCUGAUGGUCCUUACUAGAACCUUCUGGGUCCUAACAACCAGAAUGCUUCAUCACAUCCCCCUGAGUUCUUUGGGCCACUCUGAGUUCUAUGACAUUCAAAUCAUUUUCUUCCAAAGCACAGGUUCAUCUUUCUUCACGUUGGGGGUUUUCAUUAUUUAGACAGGGCUGACCCAGCCAGAUAGAUAGAUCCUUGGUUUGUCAGCCACUGUGUGCAGAACCCAGGAGCUCUCCAACGUAACUCUCAUCAACUUCAAGAAAUUCUACAACUUUGAAGUUUUCCUUUGCUACCAGCUUGCAUAAGCAGACCUGACAGACAGAAGAGAUGCAGAUGGGGGGUGGACAGAUGCUGGUGCUAGGUAGGGUGAGAUGCUUGACUGGGAACGAAGUAAGUGGCCAGGACAGUACUAAAUAUAUUCAUGUUUUAACAACUCUUAACUUCCAA
rnacentral:lncRNA from 1 species